CGGGCCAUUCCUGAUGAGGAGAUCGGGGAUUAUGGGGCCAUCAGGGAAGCUUUACUCUCCAGGUACGCCGUCACACCGGAGGCAUACAGGAGACGAUUCAGAGACACAGUAAAAUUGGCUGGGGACUCUUAUGUUGAAUGGGCAUGCAAAGUACACCACACAGCUGCCCACUGGAUGGCGGGGUGCCAGGCUGUGUCCGAGGAAGAGG